UACGUAGGGUGCGAGCGUUAAUCGGAAUUACUGGGCGUAAAGCGUGCGUAGGCGGUUCGUUAAGUUCGUUGUGAAAGCCCCGGGCUCAACCUGGGAAUGGCAAUGGAAACUGGCGGGCUGGAGUAUGGCAGAGGGGGGUGGAAUUCCGCGUGUAGCAGUGAAAUGCGUAGAUAUCAGGAGGAACACCGAUGGCGAAGGCAGGUCUCUGGGCUGACACUGACGCUCAUGCACGAAAGCGUGGGGAGCAAACAGG
rnacentral:rRNA from 1 species